GAGCCCGCACAAGCAGCGGAGCAUGUUCUUUAAUUCGAAGCAACGCGAAGAACCUUACCAGGGCUUGACAUCCCAAGAACCCUGUUGAAAGACGGGGGUGCCCUUCGGGGAACUUGGAGACAGGUGGUGCAUGGUUGUCGUCAGCUCGUGUCGUGAGAUGUUGGGUUAAGUCCCGCAACGAGCGCAACCCUUAUCAUUAGUUACCAGCGGGUAAAGCCGGGGACUCUAGUGAGACUGCCGGUGAUAAAUCGGAGGAAGGUGGGGACGACGUCAAAUCAUCAUGCUCCUUAUGUCCUGGGCUAGAAACGUGCUACAAUGGCCACUACAGAGGGCUGCGAUGUCGCAAGGCAGAGCGAAACCGAAAAAAGUGGUCUCAGUUCGGAUUGAGGGCUGCAACCCGCCCUCAUGAAGCCGGAGUUGCUAGUAAUCGCGAAUCAGCACGUCGCGGUGAAUACGUUCCCGGGCUUU
rnacentral:rRNA from 1 species